GACGAACGCUGGCGGCGUGCUUAACACAUGCAAGUCGAGCGGUAAGGCCCUUUCGGGGGUACACGAGCGGCGAACGGGUGAGUAACACGUGAGUAAUCUGCCCUGCGCUUCGGGAUAACCAUCGGAAACGGUGGCUAAUACCGGAUAUGACAACGCACCGCAUGGUGGGUUGUGGAAAGUUUUUUCGGCGCAGGAUGUGCUCGCGGCCUAUCAGCUUGUUGGUGAGGUAAUGGCUCACCAAGGCUUCGACGGGUAGCCGGCCUGAGAGGGUGACCGGCCACACUGGGACUGAGACACGGCCCAGACUCCUACGGGAGGCAGCAGUGGGGAAUAUUGGACAAUGGGCGGAAGCCUGAUCCAGCAACGCCGCGUGAGGGAUGACUGCCUUCGGGUUGUAAACCUCUUUCAGUACCGACGAAGCGAAAGUGACGGUAGGUACAGAAGAAGCACCGGCCAACUACGUGCCAGCCGCCGCCGUAACAC
rnacentral:rRNA from 1 species